rnacentral:rRNA from 1 species
UACGGAGGGUGCGAGCGUUGUCCGGAAUCAUUGGGCGUAAAGGGCGCGUAGGUGGCCCGGUCAGCGUGCGGUGAAAGCUCGGGGCUCAACCCCGAGUCGGCCGUGCGAACUGCUGGGCUGGAGCACUGUAGAGGCAGGCGGAAUUCCGGGUGUAGCGGUGGAAUGCGUAGAGAUCCGGAGGAACACCGGUGGCGAAGGCGGCCUGCUGGGCAGUGGCUGACACUGAGGCGCGACAGCGUGGGGAGCAAACAGG